AGCUUUAAGACCGACAGUAGUUCUGACCCUGCCUUCCCUCCACAUCGUCUCACUGAUUCCAGAUAAUAUCAGCACAAGAAGUAUUUCUUCAUAGGGAUUGGUGCAUCAGACAACUGGUGUGCAGACUGCAGACUAACAAAGGUUAAAUCACAAAAAGUGUUAUGAAAAAGCUAAGAUAGUGAGACAGCUUGGAACAACAAAGGACCAAGUGACCUGAGGACCUGGAACAGAAGUGAACCCACCUAACUUCUGGAGGUGCUAGAAAUAAUGAGGACCUUCAUUGCCUUCAGUUCUCCUCUUCCUCUUGGCCAGGACUGCCUCCUCCCUUCCAUGGGUACAGAAAACACAGAUGACAGCUCUAUUUGACACAAGCCUGACAAAACCCAAAAGUCCUGAACAUCUCUCUGGGAGCAGGACAAACAAGAUUUAAAAAAGGAAACCCCUCUCCAUGUCACUCACUUUAAGAAGAGAUGACCCCUUAAAAGUUACCUGCAGAAUCAACAAAAAAUGUACGGUCAGAGCCUCAUCCAGUUUAUACCGAGCAAGGAUACAUCUCUCGUAUUAAGGCUGCGCCAGUAAAAUCAGAAAUGCAAAUAUUCAGGUGCUUAAAAUGUAUGACGAGAACACACAGAAUUUUAAAUGAAACUGUUGUAAGUUUAUCCUCCAAACCUUGAUCUGCAACAGGAGUUUAUAAUUAUUAUGUCUACCUAUGUAACUUUUCAAAUGAAAAACUGAGAAUGUUCUGCAUUUAUUAACUUGCUUUUGGCCAAAGUGGCCAAGAAGAAAAUGGUUUUCUCCAGAAGAAAAAACCCAGAAGAAGAAACCCAUUUUCCUAUGUUACACUUAAAAGUGAAGAAAUAAUCUGAUAUAUAUUUUUUCAAGACGCUAUCUUGAAAAAGAAGACACAGAUAAUUAAAUGAUCACAAACUGUAGUGCAAUUAGAAGACUGUGAUGAAAGAUGUGAUUUAAGUAAUAGAAGUUUUAAUGGCAAAAAGAGCAGUUCACACUCAAAUGCAUAUUAAUCAUCUCAGUAUGUGUGCUUUGUCAGCUGCUGAUAAACUUAUUACUUCUUUCCUCUGUUCACUCUGAAUAAACAUCUAUUCCCAUAUGCCACUCAUAGCAUUGAGUGGAAAGAAUGAAUCCUUCUAGAGUCUGACAGAAUGGCAUCUUGUACUUGGCAUAGAUAUCAGUAGUAUCUCUUUUUAAAAAAUAGUUUCUGGUGGCAAAAGGUUGAAAAAUGCUUGGAACCCGUAGACAAAGCUGAGAAAUUUAUGAUCAUGGUGAUUGCAUUUGUAUGCAGACUUUAAACCUUUUCCUUUUCCUGCAGCAUCCAGUAUUUAUUUAGUUACUUGUUAAAAUGUGAUAAGCAAAAGAAUUUUUGUUAUUACUGCUAUUUUAGCAGUUGCUUGAAGUCUGAGGGCAGGGUGCCUUUGUCAGGAGAAACAUCUCGUGAGUGGAGAUAUAGUUGUAUGCUAGCGCAUUUAAGUGCUCUGAGCAGAAAAGCUGGUCUGAAACCACCAAGUUGGAAGAGAUACAACACAGACCGGCUUUGUAGAUUUCUCCCAAACCUAUAAAGUUUGGCUACUGUGCUUUGGUGUUUAGACAAAGCAAUGAGGUUCUGUUCUGUCCAAUAUUGUCACGUAUCAAUGAGGAGAAUUUCAGUCAUCUGUAGACAAUUCUCUGAAAAUGACAUUUUUUUUCCUCUACAGUUUUACACGUUUUCUGAAGUUAGAUUUUACUUCUCACUUUCUUACUUGCUUUUCAAAGGACUGUUUUGAAUUAACACCUCCAUCAAUAGUAUGUGUUUGAAAGUAAAUGUUCCAUAGAAAUAUGAAAAAAAUAUUUAUUGACCUCCCGUAACAAGAGAAUAGUCUUAGAUCUGGGGGCUGAUAUUGUAGCCAUUACACUAUAUGAGAGAACAGUCUUAGCUGUGGGGAAAAGACAGAGACAUCUGCAGUCUAAUACAAGUAACAGAAUUAAACACAAUGGGAACAUAGAGAAACUGGUAAAAAUUAUGCUGCUGUAUGGCUCACUGGAACUAAAUGUUGCAUAACAUGUUUUUUGUUUUUUAUUUUUGCAGUGCUUCACCAUUCAAAUUAAUUAAAGAAUUUUCCAGAAUGAGGUGCAAUGUUGCUUUGGAAAAUAUUGCUUUAGCAAGCUGUAAUGGGCAACUCAGCAUACUUCUGUAAAAUAAGCCUGUAAACUUGUACCAAUUAUAGUUGCUGUGCUAUAAAUGAAUUUUUGAAGUUCCUUAUUUCUAAAAGCCAUUUUUAAUUCCCCCCAU